CACGUAGGGUGCGAGCGUUGUCCGGAAUUAUUGGGCGUAAAGAGCUCGUAGGCGGUGUGUCGCGUCUGCUGUGAAAACUCGGGGCUUAACUCCGGGCCUGCAGUGGGUACGGGCAGACUAGAGUGCGGUAGGGGAGACUGGAACUCCUGGUGUAGCGGUGAAAUGCGUAGAGAUCCGGAGGAACACCAGUGGCGAAGGCGACACGCUGGGCCGUACCUGACACUGAGGCGCGAUAGCAUGGGGAGCAAACAGG
rnacentral:rRNA from 1 species